AAUCAACGCUGGCGGCGUGCCUCAGACAUGCAAGUCGAACGAUUAAAGCUCUCUUCGGAGAGUGCAUAGAGUGGCGCACGGGUGAGUAACACGUAAGUAAUCUACCUUCGAGUGGGGAAUAACGUCCGGAAACGGACGCUAAUACCGCAUAAUGCAGCGGCAUCGCAAGAUGACAGUUGUUAAAGGAGCAAUUCGCUUGAAGAGGAGCUUGCGGCAGAUUAGCUUGUUGGUAAGGUAACGGCUUACCAAGGCUACGAUCUGUAACCGGUCUAAGAGGACGGUCGGUCACACUGACACUGAAUAACGGGUCAGACUCCUACGGGAGGCAGCAGUCGGGAAUUUUGGGCAAUGGGGGAAACCUUGACCCAGCAACGCCGCGUGAA
rnacentral:rRNA from 1 species